rnacentral:rRNA from 1 species
AUUGAACGCUGGCGGCAUGCUUUACACAUGCAAGUCGAACGGCAGCACGGGAGUAAUCCUGGUGGCGAGUGGCGAACGGGUGAGUAAUAUAUCGGAACAUGUCCGGAAGUGGGGGAUAACGUAGCGAAAGUUACGCUAAUACCGCAUAUGCCCUGAGGGGGAAAGGAGGGGAUCGCAAGACCUUUCGCUUUCGGAGUGGCCGAUAUCAGAUUAGCUAGUUGGUGAGGUAAAGGCUCACCAAGGCGACGAUCUGUAGCGGGUCUGAGAGGAUGAUCCGCCACACUGGAACUGAGACACGGUCCAGACUCCUACGGGAGGCAGCAGUGGGGAAUUUUGGACAAUGGGGGCAACCCUGAUCCAGCCAUGCCGCGUGAGUGAAGAAGGCCUUCGGGUUGUAAAGCUCUUUCAGCCGGAAAGAAAACGUGCAGAUUAAUACUCUGUAUGGAUGACGGUACCGGAAGAAGAAGCACCGGCUAACUACGUGCCAGCAGCCGCGGUAAUACGUAGGGUGCGAGCGUUAAUCGGAAUUACUGGGCGUAAAGCGUGCGCAGGCGGUUUUUUAAGACAGACGUGAAAUCCCCGGGCUUAACCUGGGAACUGCGUUUGUGACUGGAAGGCUAGAGUAUGGCAGAGGGGGGUAGAAUUCCACGUGUAGCAGUGAAAUGCGUAGAUAUGUGGAGGAAUACCGAUGGCGAAGGCAGCCCCCUGGGUCAAUACUGACGCUCAUGCACGAAAGCGUGGGGAGCAAACAGGAUUAGAUACCCUGGUAGUCCACGCCCUAAACGAUGUCAACUAGGUGUUGGGGGAGGAGACUUCCUUAGUACCGCAGCUAACGCGUGAAGUUGACCGCCUGGGGAGUACGGCCGCAAGGUUG